ACUCCUACGGGAGGCAGCAGUGGGGAAUCUUGCGCAAUGGGCGAAAGCCUGACGCAGCGACGCCGCGUGGACGACGAAGGCCCUCGGGUUGUAAAGUCCUGUGGGGCGAGACGAAAGACAGCCAUUCGAAUAGGGUGGUUGGUUGACGGUAUCGCCUUAGCAAGCACCGGCUAACUCCGUGCCAGCAGCCGCGGUAAU
rnacentral:rRNA from 1 species